rnacentral:rRNA from 1 species
AGUAACGCGUGAGGAACCUGCCUUCCAGAGGGGGACAACAGUUGGAAACGACUGCUAAUACCGCAUGACACAUGACCGUGGCAUCACGGACAUGUCAAAGAUUUAUCGCUGGAAGAUGGCCUCGCGUCUGAUUAGCUGGUAGGCGGGGUAACGGCCCACCUAGGCGACGAUCAGUAGCCGGCCUGAGAGGGUGGACGGCCACAUUGGGACUGAGACACGGCCCAAACUCCUACGGGAGGCAGCAG